UACAAGCAUAGCGACAAGGGAUUUCUAUUUUUAUGUCAUUACUAUAGUGGGAUUUCAAAGAAAUGGGCUUCAUUUUUUAAGCUUCUCAUUACCAGCAGGAGUCCCACUGCCGUUAGCACCUUUGUUAGUAGUUCUUGAGUUAAUCCCUCAUUGUUUUCAUGCAUUAAACUCAGGAAUGCAUUUAUUUGCUAAUAUGAUGGCCGAUCAUAGUUCAAUAAAGAUUUGAAGUGGGCUUGUGUCACGCCCAAAAUCUGGUUAACCCAAAACUCGACUCGUGACCUCAGUUCAAAAGUUUGACCCUAAGAGUUACUCCUAUCCACGUUGGCAAUCAACUAAAAUAUCCUGAAUUUUUUUUCUAUUUUUCAAUAAAGCGUUUAAUCCCAAAUAAAUUUAUUAAGUUAAGAUUUACUGUAACAUAUUAUUUUAUUUUUCCAAAACCAACUAUCACACUAUCUCCUGUUCACAAGUAUAAUAAAUCCACCAAUCAUCUUUCUACCCAAAAACUCAAAUAUUUAUAAUAAUCUCCAAGUAAAAAAGAAUAUUUCCAAAAAUGUUUUACAAACUAACAAAAUAUAAUUUAAUUUACAAAAGUCCAUAUAACUCAAAUUAGCACAUGUCAAAAAGGUAAUAUACAUCUAAAAACAACCAUUAUUAUGGUUCUUUUGCUUUCUGGAACACUUCCUAAUCUUCCUGUGGCCCCUCAAAAACUAUAUUUGCAUAUAAAAAUUUUAGAAAAUAAAAGAAUGAGCAUUUCCACGUUGCUUAGUAGGGUGUUUUACACCCAAAUGAGUUACACAUUCUAGGUCAAUAAAACACAACUAUAUACCAAAAUAUAAUGUUACAUUUACAUUAUACACACUAAAAGAAACCUCAACUAUACAAAUUUAAACUAAUCAAAAUUAUCAUUUUUCUUAUUCAAUAAUAUGCCAAUAAUUCUAAAUUUACAAAAUAAAUAAGCCAUUUUAGUCUUGAAUAAUAUAUUCAAACAUACACUUGAUAAAUAAUACAAAUCCUUCUUCCAAAUGCAACCAUGAUGCAAAUGUUUACACGCAAUCACGUAAUACACUGUCAUUCUCGAGCUUUCACCGAAAGAUACGCAUCCGUACCCAAAUACACUCUCCAUUCAGAAUUUUCUCAGGGUAAACUUUUGGGUCUUUCACCCUAAGGAUCUCACUCUCUUCUUAAUUCACCAUCUCUAGGGUCAUUCCAUUUCUUAUUUUUCUUUUCAUUUCAUUUUUGCCAUCUUCGGGGUCUUUUCAUUCUCAUUUCCCUUUCACACAACGAUUUCUUUAAUUUUUCUUUUUCUUCACACAACCAUGAUGCAUAUGAAAUGCAAUCAAAUCAUAUUUUAACAUCCAUAAAUUUCCAAAACAUAAUUUUAUUUACUCCCAUUAUGUUUCAUAAUUUCCAACAAUUCACACAACGAUUUUUCUUCACUUUAAUCACCACAAACAUCAAAGAAAAUUCAUAAUUAAUUUAUAUAGUAUCAAAACAUAGUUUUAAACCUUAGCCACAUAAAUUCUAUUUAUUCUUGACAUGCUUAAUAAUUUCCAACAACCAAUAUAACCAUUUUUUUUUUCAAUUAAAUAACCACAUAUAACCAAGAAAAUUCCCACUAAUACAAAUAUUAACAAAAACGUAAUUUAUGUCAUAAUUUAUUUAUCUUCAAUAAUCUCAAUAAUUUUAACACUCAAUACAACAAUUUUCCACAAUUAAGCCACCUCAACAUUCGGGAAAUUUUUUUCAAUAAUUCAAAUAUUAACAAAAUCCCAAUUUAUACCAUCAAUUUAUUUAUUUCUAACAAUAUUAAUAAUUUUAAAACAAUAAAUUUAACCAUAUCUCAAUAUUACAAAAUUUCAACAAAUAAAUUCCAUUAUUUUCAACACUAAUAUAUCAUCAAGAAAUUUAUAUAAUUUCUAAUAUGAUAAAAAUCACAAAAAAUAUAUUAACCAAUGUUCCAAAUUAGCAAAGUUUCAUAACCACAACAAUCCGGUAAAUUCUAUCAUAAGGACAACAAUUAAAUACCAACAAUUCUAAUAUUUUUAUCUUGAAUUAAACUUUUAUCCACUUUCCAUUUAACAUUUUCAAAGCAAAACCAAAUCAUUUCAUAUAUUUAGAGUUUCCAAAAAAUAACUUAAUGAAAACUAUAUGACGAUCUACUAUAACUCAACAACUCACCCAUUUUCAUGGAGUUUUUUGAAAGUAAAUAAAAGCAAAAUGAAAUGCCCUAAAAAAUUCGAGAGAGAAAUUUAGGAAAAACACACCCUUACCUGUACAAUAAAAUCCAACCGUCAAUGAUAAAAAUAGAUGUCGAUUUAAUACCUAAACUUUUUCUAACAUUAAAGUAAAUAUGAUUUCAUGAAUUUCACAUUUUCUAUCAUCUUGACCUAAAUCCAAUGGGAUUGAUCACUUUUUUCUCAUUCCAUAAUUCAAUCCCAUGAAGAUGAUUCGGUCACCAACCAUUUACUAAGUUGUGACACCCAUUUUCUACACCAAUUCAAACACUCCACUUUUGUUAAUAACUUUUAGCCAAUAUAAAAAAAUGAACCUACCAUUUGAUAUAUAAAGCAUGCAUUUUCUUUUAAUGAUGUCAUAUUUUGAAUUAUUUUUUAUAUAAACAUCAUUAAAUUCAUUUAAGAGAAGUUAUUUUAUGAUGGGAUAUACUUUCUACUUUUUAUUUUUAAAAUUAGAAACCACUAUAUACUCUCUUUUAUCUUUCUUUUACACUUGAAUUCUUUAAGGUUUUAGGAGCUUCAAAAAUGUUAUAUGCACACCUUCCACAUAAUCUCUAGAGGGUAAAGUGGAUAUAUAAUAGGUAUAAAAAGCAACUCUAUCAAGUAGCAUGUAAACAAUUUAUGACUUAAGAGAAGAUAUUGUUACGACAAAAGGCAUAUUCCAGCUUAUUAUUUGAAAAGGCUUUAAAGAGGAUAUUCAGUGGAGAAUAAAUGAUUUGUAGAUUUGUGGUUAGCUAAAAUGUGUUCAAGGUAGUAUAUGCAUACCUUUAGUGAGUUAAAAUGGCUAUUAAACACGAGUUCCCUAGGUAGAUCAAUCAUGAGUUUAAUUAACCACGUGACUAAUAAGUAUAGUAUUAAAUACAUUACAAUUUACAAGUAACCCUUGGAGGGAAAAACUACUAAUAUGGUGAAUCACAUGUCAAGAAAGUAGUUUUUUUUUUUAAUUUAUUUUUUAUUCUUCUUCAUAUUUUCAAGUUUUCAACCAAAAAAAAAAGUAUUACGCUCAACCACUUGUCCAGUGGUUCUACUUUUGUGACCACCUAAGCUUUAUUACAGGAACUUUUGGGUAUCCCGAACUCUCUUAAAUUAUGAAGCCACCUUUUUUUAUGGACUUCAACCAAGUUUUAAGCAUAAUUUUCAAGUAAAAUAUAUCUCAAUUUAAUCUUUUAAGCUUUUAACAACUUUAGAGUACUUUUCAUAAUAAAAAUGAGGCUCAUGGUGGUAUCAAACUAGGAUUACCCAAUUCUUAAGCUAAAUAGCUCAUAAUAUUUAAGAAGUCUUCUCAUACGUGGUUUUAGUUCUACCUCUUUAAAACUAAUUGAGAUAGUCAUAUUUGUUAUUAUAAGCUCCUUGGGUAAAUUAUGAAUAAGUUAAUUUCAGCUUAAAAUAAUAAAUUGAGCAAAUAAACAUGUAAUAAAGUUGAAACUCAUGACCCUCCUACUGAAUGAAGUUUUAAUAUUAUAUUGGAUAAUUAAUUUUUUUUAAAGCUUAAACUUAAGAUUUGCAUCCUCGUGAAUAUUGCAUUAUGCUUUCUAAUAAUAUAUCACAUACUUUUUUAGAUUUUAUGUUAGACCUGUGAUUACUUCUCUAAAUCAAUUUUUCAGCAUAUUGUAUAUAUGUACUUAUUAGGAAGAAUCAAUUAUCAUUGAAUGCAGAAAUACAACUCCUCAUAGUGUCUCUUUGCUUAUUUCCUCUACAGCUUUGAUUAGUUGAAUUUAAAAGAACUCCCGGGUGCUUUCACAAAAUGUAUUGAACUUCAAACCUGCACAAAGAUAGAAACCAUAUCAUUGAAAUAAUUAAAUAGAUCAACUAAAAUCAAAGUGCUAUUGUCUUAUUUAAAAAUAAAUAUAAAAAAUCAUGGGCUUUAUGCAAAAACGAUAGUUGCGCAAAACUCCUUAUUGGGAAUACUAGAUAGGUGCCAUGUGUCAUUUCAUUCGGCACCUUCUUCCAUAACCAUCAAAAAUGAUCUUUGUUCCGGAAGAAAACAAGAGUUUUGGGCAAAUAUAAUAUAUUUGAAAAAUAAAUUCAUAAAAUAGAUUUUCAAUCAAAAUAAUUUUCAAGUUAGUGCAUGUGUUUUCAAAAUUUGAAAUUUUCCACUGUAUGUGAAAAUUGUGGAAAGUGUCUUUUAAAAAGACACUUUCAGUAUAAACCCAAUUUUUAAAAAAUUAUGAAAGACAUCCAAGUAUAAUUCCAUUUUUUUUUUUUUGGAAAUUAUGGAAGGUGUCUCUUCAAGAGACACUUUCAGCAUAAAUUUGAAAUUUUUCACUGUUUGAAUGAAAAUUGUGAAAAGUAUCUCUUGAAGAGGCACUUUCAGUAUAAACCCAAUUUUUUUAAAAUGUAAAAGAGACACCUUUCCCAAUUCCUAAAAAAUGGAAUUAUACUAAAGGUGUCUCUUGAAGAGACACCUUUCAUAAUUUUAAAAAAAUUGGGUUUAUACUGAAAUUGUCUCUUGAAGAGACACUGUCCACAAUUUCCAUACAUAGAAAAAUUUCGAAUUUAUGUUGAAGAGAGAUAUCUUUAACUUUAAAAUUAUUUUCACAAUUUUAUGGAAUUAUGGAAAGUGUCUUUUCAAAAAACACCUUUAGUAUAAAUCUAAUUUUUUGGAAUUGUAGAAAUUGUCUCUUGAAGAGGCAAAUUCAUGAAACAUUCAAAUUUAUCAAAUUAUGGAAGGUGUUUUUUCAAGAGAUACCUUUAAUGCAUAUUGGAUUUUUUAUCAUAUGAAAGGUGUUUUUUCAAGAGACAUAUUUAAUACAUAUUGGAUUUUUUAUCAGGUAAAAAGUGUCUUUUCAAGAGAUAUUUUUAAUAUAAAUUUAAUUUAUAAAAAUGAUAGAAGGUGUUUGUUAAAGAAAUACUUUAUAUUAAAUUUAAUUCUUUUAAAUAUAUAUAUUAUGAUUUUGAAAACGGUGGAAGAUGCUCUUCAAAAGACACCUUUGGCAAAAGUUAAGAAAGCCCAACUCACGGGUAAUUCUGCCGACAGAAAAAAUGAUAGGACGUGACCUUUGAUGUGAUAAAUGAAAAAGGGUAUGUUGGUCCCGUACCAUUGCCAUCAAUUAUGAGCGCGCAGCAGGUCCGCAAGUUUUUUCCAGUCAACGGAUAUUUUCCACAUUCAUUUCGUAUUCCACGCAGACUUACGAAAGCAACCUUAGCGAGUAUGGGUGGACGCAUUUUCCUGAUAAGCUUCAUGGAAUCUUUAAGAUGAAGGAGGAUGCUACUUCCACAUUCUUUAACCGAGCGUGCUAAACACGCUCUCUAAUUUUUCUAUAUUCUUAAUUUCUAAUGUUGUAUAUAUAAUAUUUUUUAAAUAUAAUAGUAAAAAAAUUAUUUUAAUUUAUUAUAAUUUUAAGAGUCAAAUAAAAAAUUAAAAAAUACAUAGACAAAUAGACCUUUAGCAAAAUAAUUUGAGCUUAAAAUAAUAAAUUGAGCAAAUAAACAUAUAGUGAAGUUAGAACUUAUGACCCUUCUACUAAACUAAAUGGAGUUCUAAUAUUAUAUUGGAUAAUUAAUUUUUUUAAAAGCUUAAACUUAAGAUUUGCAUCCUCGUGAAUGUUGCAUCAUACUUUCUAAUAAUAUAUCACAUACUUUUUUAGAUUUUAUGUUAAACCUGUAUUCACUUCUCUAAAUCAAUUUUUCAGCAUAUUGUAUAUAUGUACUUGUUUGGAUGAAUCAAUUAUCAAUGAAUGCAGAAAUACAACUCCUCAUAGAGUCUCUCUCUGCUUAUUUCCUCUAUAGUUUGAUUAGUUGAACUUAAAAGAACCCCCAAGUGCUGUCACAAAAUGUUUUGAACUUCAAACCUGCACAAAGAUAGAAACCAUAUCAUUGAAAUAAUUAAAUAGAUCAACUGAAAUCAAAGUGUUAUUGUCUUAUUUAAAAAUAAAAAUCAUGGGCUUUAUGCAAAUACGAUAGUUGCGCAAAACUCCUUAUUGGGAAUACUAGAUAGGUGUCAUGUGUCAUUUCACUCGGCACUUUCUUCCAUAACCAUCAAAAAUGAUAUUUAUUCAGGAAGAAAACAAGAGUUUUAGGCAAAUAUAAUAUAUUUGAAAAAUAAAUUCAUAAAAUAGAUUUUUCAAUCAAAAUAAUUUUCAAGUUAGUGCAUUUCAACUACUUGGACAUCCAAAUAGUCUUAAAAUGUUUUAUUUUUUUAGCAUAAAUUUAAAACCGUAAUUAAUAACUAUAAUUUUAACCAUUUAAAAAAAAAAAGAAUUUCUAAGUUGGUAUGUUUCAACUACAUGAACAUCCACAUGGCAUGAUAAUAAUUUUUUUUUAAAUGUUUUUUACAUCACAAAAUUGUAAUUAGUAACUACUAUUUUAAAUUUUUUUAAAACAUAAAAUCACAGUUGGAGACUAUAAUUUUAAGUAUAUCUUUAAAAUUUAUAGUUAAUAAUCGUAGUUGCCGAUUAUGAUUUUAAAUUUAAAUUUAAAACCAUAAUUGAUUAUUAUUAUUUUAACCAUUUAAAAAAAUCAAAAUUAUAGUUAGCAAGUACAGUUUGUGACAUGGAUACACAUGUAGAUGAGACACUCUAGUUUGAAAAUUAUUUUGAAAGGGUCUACUUUGUAGAAUUUUAUUUUUGCAAAUAAAUUAUUUUUCCUCAAAACUCAAAUCUAACUUGUUUAGAAAUAAAUUCAAUUAUACACUUUCCUAGUUUUUCUCUUCCCUAAUAUAAGACCAAGUCCGUGUUAUCACUUUUCCACAGGAAUAUUCAGUUUCAGUCUUCAUCAAUGCUGUCCAUUCCCUUAGCUGUGCAUUAUUCCAAUGCCAGUUUUCUACCAUAAUUUAGUCCAGGAUGUGGAACCACUGCUGGAUCAUGCUGGAUCCUGUUGUGAGACUUGACCAUCAACAUCCCUUCUCUCCAUUUGUGGGGUCCUGCCCACUUAAUCACUACUUUGGAAAUUUCGCUAACAUCCAAAUCUCAACAACCCAAAACCACAGACUUCUGCAUCCUUCCAUCCAUCUUUCUUUAAGUAAAAUAGACACCCAUUUGGUCUUUCUUUCACUUUCUCCCAAGAAUACUAAUCUUGUCUGACUGAUUAGUUUCAUCAGAGAUUAUUCAAGAAAAAGAAUAUCACAUUUUAUAUUUGAAAAAAAAAAGUACUGAAUAUAUUAGAAAGAUAUCAUCCACGAAAAGUUGGAAAUGUAAUCUUGUACAAGGAAAGGAAACAAGGGAGAGUCUUAAAUAAAUUGUUUCCAUAAGAGACCUAAUGACCAAUGUCAUUAGGGGUGUUUAAAAAAAAUUAAUUAAUGGUGAUUAAAUGUUUAAAAAAUUAUAUUUAAUGCAUAUUUUUAUGAUGACGAAGACUUGCAAAAGCAACCUUUGGAAUUUGUCUGGACCAUUUUUCUGAUAAGCUUCAUGGAAUUUUAAGAUGGAGAAUGCUACCUCCACAUUCUUUAACCGAGUGUGCAAAACACGCUCUCUCUAAUUUUUCCAUAUUCUUAACUUUUAAUGCUAUAUAUGUAUAAAAUAAUUUUAAUUUAUCAUGAUUUAAGAGGAGUUAAAUAAAAACUUAAAUAUUUUUAAAAAGAAAAUUUCAAUAUGAUACAUCUAUUUUAAAAUUAUCUUUUGGAUAGAUAUUUUAUAAAUUAUUAUAAAUUUUAAAAUAUUUUUUCAACUAUUAUACAUCUCAAAUUAUUUCUAUCAUUUUUUUAAUUUCACCUUAUCAAGUUUAUAAGAUAGAAUAUAGAGUAUGACAUGGAUUUAAAUUUUAUAAUCAUAUUAAAAUAUUAAAAAAUUAUCAACAAUCAAAUAGUUUCAUAUAUAUAUAUAUAUAUAUAUUUUCAAAUCUUAUUCAUUGUAACUUCAUUCUAUUUAUUUAUACCCUUUUACCUUAGUUUCAAUGCUUAUAUAUUCAUCAAACAACCUAAAUUUUAUUUUAUAUAUAUUUAAUGAUUUAGAUUUUUUGUUAUAUAUAUAUAUAUAUAUAUGAAGGGUUUAUCCCAUCACUUCAUGAGUUUCCCUUACUCCACUCCAUGAACAAUAUCUUGAAAGUGAAGUUGACUUUGCUCAUCCUGCAAGACUUAUCCUCAAGAGUCAAGAACUUGAACCUGAACCUUAGGAUAAAUCUUAGGAUAAAUCUUAUACCACCAUCUCUUGUCCGGGUUGUUCCCUAACGGGAGACAUUAUUAGUUUUUUUUUUUUUUUUUUUUAUCAAAUUAUUAUUCUAACACCAUUUUUAUUAAUGUGAAAUUAUCAUCCCUUAUUACUUUUCCCUUUCUGUCCUCUCCCUUCUCUCCUCCCCAACCUCAUUUCCUAAUUGCACCCUAUUUUUAUUUUUCUUUCCUAACCCCCACCCCACAUUUUAGCAUUAUUUUUCUUUUAUUUUUAUCUUCAUUUUCAUCUCUACCCAUCCAACCCCCCACCCCAUGUAAACUUUGUUUUGUUUUUCUUUUUAUUUCUUUUAUUUUUUUCACACUCAAUUAUUUUUCAUAUUCUUCUUAUAUUUUAAAGCAAAAUAAUUUCUUUAAAUAAUAAAUUAUAAAAUGAUUUUUUCACCAAAAGUAUAUUAUGUAAAAUGAUUUUAUUAUAUUCAAUGUUUUAAUGUGAAAUUCAUAACUCAAUUUUUUAAAAUAAAAAUUAUUAUUAAAAUUUUAAAAUAAACAAUAUUUAAUUGGAAUGGUCUUUUAAAAAAUAUGUUUGUUUAUUGUGUUCAAUAUGAUUUUUUUUGUAACCUAAACAAAAAUAUUGCAUAUAACUAGAGCUUGAUUAAGAAUAUGAGCAAUGUAAUAAUUAUUUGUGUUAGUAAAGUAAAGACUCAUAAAACAAAGUAUGUAAUCAAGAGCCUAAAAAAAAGUCAAACCCAGGUUGUUGAAUCCCCACCUAGGCCGCCGAUUUUUCUUUUUGAUAUAUAUAUAUAUAUAUAUAUAUAUAUAUUGUCAUUAGAUGAUUGAAUUUCAUCAUUCAUUGUAUUUCGUAUGUGAUUUGUAAUCUUAAUCAACUAGAAUUUAUGUUCAAUAUGUUGAGAGGAGGUUAAAGAGAGUUCUUUAUUAAAAAUGGUAUAUGUGAAAAAAAAAAAUAUGAUAAAAAAGUGUUACGUUUAACAAAAGAGCUAUUGCAAAUAUCAACCUUUUUUUAUAUUCUUUAACCCCACUUUAACCAAAGGAUAAUAUAAACUUAUCACAAGAUUAUGAAAAGACUUGUCUUUAUUCAUGAUAUUUUUCUUUAACAGUUCAACUCGGCACCUUCUUCCAUAAAUAAAUUAUAUUUGCUUUGGAAGAAAACUUGAGUUUUGAACAAAUAUAAUAUAUUUGAAAAAAAAAAUCCAUAAAAUGGAUCUUCAAUCAAAAUAAUUCUCAAAAUAGUGUAUUUGUACUUGGGCAUCCAAAUAGUUUGAGAAUAUUUUUUAUGUGAUAAAAUCCUAAUUGAUAACUAUGAUUUUAAUUUUUUUUUUUUAAAUAUAAAACCGCUGUUGGUAACUAUAGUUUUAACUAUUUUAAAAGAAAAUUCAAAAUCAUAAUUAACAACUAUAGUUUUAUAAGGUGGAUAUGUUAGCUCUUUUCUUAUAAUGUGUGCUCAUAUAUAAUUAUAUUUGUGUAAAUAUUAUUUAAAAGUAUCAAUUGAUAGAUAGGUGAAUCAAUUGAUUGGGCAUCCAAGAGUCUUAUGUAUGGAAGACUCAAAUUAUAAAUGGGGAGUUAGAAAAUUUAAUUUAUAUGAAUGUGGUGUUUGUAACCCCAUCAUUAUGAAAUUUAUUUUGUACAUUAUAUUUAUGAGUAAUAGAGGAAAAUGAAAAAGUAUAAUCUAUGCAUUUAUAUAAAUGCAUUCAAGUUCAUAACUCACCAUUACUCAUUAAUUUGUACAUAAUAGGUGUAAAUAAUGAGUAUAACUCUCAUAUAGUCUUUUAUAAGAAGACUAAGAUGUUGUUUGUUUUUUGGCUGAAUAGAAAAAAUCAAAUAUUUUGGCUUUUUUUAUUAAGCUAAAAGUAACUUGUUGAUACUAUCCAACAUAGGUAAAGUGAACUUAUUAUCAAUAAGUUUAGUUUAAUGAUGUUGGUUGAUGUCAAUAAGUUACUUUUAGCUGAAUAGAAAAAGCAAAAAUAUUUGAUUUUUUCUAUUCAGCCAAAAAACAAACACCACCUAAGAGAUGUACAACUUUUUAUAAGUUAAGGUCUCAAAUCACAUUCUCAUUCUUAUGUCAUUUUGUUAUUUUAUUUUUUAACAACAUACACCACAUAAGUGACCCAUCCACUAUAUGAGAGUAGUGAGUUGAAGACUUUGAUAAUACAAUUCAUAAAAUGAUUCAAUUUCACUUCAAAAAUGAUAUUGGUAUUAUAAAUCAAGGUAAGAAUAUGAUCAUUAUUUUAAUAUUUAUAUUUAUUUUGUUUUAUGUAUUCAAAAUUGUUUUUUUUUUAAAUAAUGAUUUCCGCAUAAAGUUUAUAAAAGUUUAGUUAACAAGAUACCUAUGUGGAUGAGAUGCACUAAAAUUAUUCUGAGAUGGAACCUAUCUUGUGGAAUUUUUUUUAAAUAAAUUAUUUUUGUUCAAAACUUAGAAAAAAUAACUUGUUGAAAACUAAAUUCAACUAUACACUUUCGUAUUUUUCUUUUUAUAAGAUCAAAUCCACGUUAUCACUUUUCCACUAGAAUCCUCAUGAUUAAUUGUAGAAUUCUUGAGAUGAAAUGAAAUGGUUGUUGAAACUUCAGUUUUCAAACUUGAUCAAUGUUGUCCCUUCCCUUAGCUGUGCAUUAUUCCAAUGCCAGUUUUUCUCCACAAACUUAGUCCAGAGACAAGAUUAGAUUCCGUGUGGAACCAUUCAUGUGUGGAUCCCGUUGUGAGACUUGACCAUCAAUAUCCUUCUCUCCAUUUGUGGGGUACUGCCCACGUGAUCACUACUUUGGAAAUUUGACUCUCAAAGACCCAUAACUACAGAUUUUCCAUAAAACCAAAACGUGAUGUAGACUAAUUGGCGCCUAGCGUUGACCCAAAGUGAAGUCUUUUCUCUUGUCUGGCAUUUUCCACAUUUAUUUAUGAUUACCAUUUACCAAGACUUGCAUAAGCGACAUUGGGAAUUGGUGUACCCCAAUUUUCUGACAUGGAUUUACAACACUCAUAUAUUUAUAUUUUUAUUGAUUCUCAUUUCUCAAUGUCAAGAAUAGAUGUUAAUAUUUAAUACCUAAACUGUUUCUAACAUUAAAGUAAAUAUGAUUUCACGAAUUUCAUAUUUUCUAUCCUGUGGAUGAGAUGCACUAAAAUUAUUCUGAGAUGGAACCUAUCCUGUGGAAUUUUUUUUAAAUAAAUUAUUUUUGUUCAAAACUUAGAAAAAAUAACUUGUUGAAAACUAAAUUCAACUAUACACUUUCGUAUUUUUCUUUUUAUAAGAUCAAAUCCACGUUAUCACUUUUCCACUAGAAUCCUCAUGAUUAAUUGUAGAAUUCUUGAGAUGAAAUGAAAUGGUUGUUGAAACUUCAGUUUUCAAUCUUGAUCAAUGUUGUCCCUUCCCUUAGCUGUGCAUUAUUCCAAUGCCAGUUUUUCUCCACAAACUUAGUCCAGAGACAAGAUUAGAUUCCGUGUGGAACCAUUCAUGUGUGGAUCCCGUUGUGAGACUUGACCAUCAAUAUCCUUCUCUCCAUUUGUGGGGUACUGCCCAAAGGCAAUUAGGAUAAGUUUCUUUAUUGACUAUUCAAUGCCCUGUCACAUUGAUUUAUUGUCCGCCCCAGUGCCCAAUGGCCCAUUCAUAUUGACUUGACUUUCAAAUACCAUUUAACCGUUGGUUUUCAUCUUUCCCGCCCAUCUUCCUCCCAACUCAUAGAGAAGCGGUAAGGAACUCAACGUCACCAAAAUGCGGAAACCACCAUUUUUAUUUACCAAAAUUCCAUUCCCCGCUCUAUUUCUCCUCCUCGUCUUCUCCUUAACCUUUCAAGUAAUUUCCCAAAAUCUAGAUGCUGAACGAUCAAUCCUACUAGACGUUAAACAACAACUGGGCAAUCCACCGUCACUCCAAUCGUGGAAUUCCUCAUCCUCGCCCUGUGAUUGGUCGGAAAUUACAUGCAUCGACAAUAUCGUCACUGAAAUUUCACUCAGCUACAAGACCAUCACAAAGAAAAUUCCAGCCAGAAUUUGUGACCUCAAGAACCUAAUCGUACUUGACGUCUCCUACAAUUACAUUCCAGGCGAGUUCCCGGAUAUUCUCAAUUGCUCUAAGCUCGAAUAUCUCCUCUUGUUGCAAAACUCCUUCGUGGGUCCAAUUCCAGCUGAUAUUGAUCGACUUUCACGUCUCCGGUACCUAGACCUCACCGCAAACAACUUCUCUGGAGAUAUUCCCGCAGCAAUUGGGCGGCUACGGGAGCUGUUCUACUUGUUUAUGGUUCAAAAUGAGUUCAACGGCACCUGGCCAACAGAGAUUGGUAAUUUGGCAAAUCUUGAACAAUUGGCCAUGGCCUAUAAUGACAAAUUCCGGCCUUCAGCCCUUCCAAAGGAGUUUGGCGCAUUGAAGAAGCUGAAAUUUCUGUGGAUGACGGAGGCGAAUUUGAUCGGCGAAAUACCGAAGAGCUUCAACAAUCUAUCGAGUCUGGAACGCUUGGACCUCUCACUCAACGAAUUGAAUGGUACGAUCCCGGUAGGCAUGCUUACGUUGAAGAAUUUGACCUAUUUGUAUUUAUUCUGUAAUAGAUUGUCAGGCCGCGUUCCUUCAUCGAUAGAAGCUUUCAACUUGAAAGAAAUUGAUCUUUCCGACAACCAUUUGACGGGGCCGAUACCAGCAGGUUUCGUGAAGCUACAAAAUUUGACAUGUUUGAAUCUUUUUUGGAAUCAGUUGUCAGGAGAGAUACCAGCAAAUAUAAGCCUCAUUCCUACACUUGAAACCUUCAAAGUUUUUAGCAAUAAAUUGAGUGGAGUUUUGCCCCCAGCAUUUGGCCUUCAUUCGGAGCUCAAAUUCUUUGAGAUUUUUGAGAAUAAACUAAGCGGGGAACUACCGCAACAUUUAUGCGCUAGGGGAACUUUGCUUGGAGUGAUUGCUUCCAACAAUAAUCUCAGCGGAGAAGUGCCCAAGUCCCUCGGGAAUUGCAGAAGUUUGCUCACCAUUCAGGUUUCCAACAAUCGCUUUUCAGGCGAGAUUCCUUCUGGCAUCUGGACAUCCCCGGGCAUGGUAUCGGUGAUGUUAGCUGGAAAUUCAUUCUCGGGGGCACUUCCAAGUAGAUUGGCAAGGAAUUUGUCCAGAGUGGAUAUCAGUAACAACAAGUUUUCUGGUCCAAUUCCUACUGAAAUCUCUUCUUGGAUGAAAAUAGGUGUUCUUAAUGCCAACAACAAUAUGUUGUCAGGAAAAAUUCCAGUGGAAUUGACCAGUCUUUGGAACAUCUCUGUUCUGUUGCUUGAUGGGAAUCAAUUCUCGGGUGAACUUCCAUCCCAGAUCAUCUCAUGGAAGUCACUCACUAAUUUGAAUCUCUCAAGAAACAAACUGUCAGGCCUAAUUCCCAAGGCAUUAGGUUCUUUACCUAGCCUUACUUACCUCGACCUGUCAGAAAACCAGUUCUUAGGUCAAAUUCCUUCUGAACUCGGUCAUUUGAAGCUUAAUAUCCUCAAUCUUUCGUCCAACCAACUCUCUGGGUUGGUCCCCUUUGAGUUUCAAAAUGCAGCAUACAAUUACAGUUUCUUGAACAAUCCCAAACUGUGUGUCAAUGUUCCCACUCUGAACCUCCCUAGAUGUGAUGCCAAACCCGUUGACUCCUACAAAUUGUCAACCAAAUAUCUUGUUAUGAUCCUAAUUUUCGCUCUAUCUGGUUUCCUAGCUGUUGCCUUCUUUACCCUGUUCAUGGUUCGACACUAUCACAGGAAGAAUCAUAGUCGAGACCAAACAAAUUGGAAGCUUACUCCAUUCCAAAAUCUGGAUUUCGAUGAACAGAACAUAUUGUUCGGUUUGACAGAAAAUAAUUUGAUCGGACGUGGUGGGUCAGGGAAAGUAUACCGAAUUGCUAAUGACCGUUCUGGUGAAAUCUUUGCUGUUAAAAUGAUUUGUAACAACGGGAGAUUGGAUCACAAGCUUCAGAAACCAUUCAUAGCAAAAGACGAGAUAUUGGGCACCUUACACCAUUCCAAUAUAGUGAAGUUGUUGUGCUGCAUAUCAAAUGAAACCACAAGUCUUCUUGUUUAUGAGUACAUGGAGAACCAAAGUUUGGAUAGAUGGCUUCAUGGGAAGAAGCAGAGAACAUCGUCCAUGACAAGUUCAGUUCAUAACUUCGUCUUGGAUUGGCCAACAAGGUUGCAGAUUGCCAUCGGAGCUGCAAAAGGCCUACGCCACAUGCAUGAAUACUGUUCUGCCCCGAUCAUACAUCGAGAUGUAAAGUCCAGCAACAUCUUACUAGACGCUGAGUUCAACGCGAAAAUUGCAGAUUUUGGAUUAGCCAAGAUGUUGGUCAAGCAAGGAGAGCCUGACACCAUGUCAGGAGUUGCAGGCUCUUACGGAUAUAUUGCCCCCGGUAAGACUAUCCAAGGCCUUCCUGUCCACAUGUUCUCAUUUCCAUAAUUUAUCGAUAAUUUUUAUCAAAUAAUUCUUGUAUGCUUGGAUGACAGAGUAUGCUUAUACAACAAAGGUGAACGAGAAGAUUGAUGUAUAUAGCUUUGGAGUAGUUCUGCUUGAGCUGGUGACGGGGAGAGAACCCAACAGCGAGCACAUGUGCCUUGUAGAAUGGGCAUGGGAUCAGUUUAGAGAAGGGAAAACCAUUGAGGAAGUGGUGGAUGAGGAGAUCAAGGAACAAUGUAACAGAGCACAAGUGACCACUCUCUUCAAUCUAGGCCUCAUGUGCACUACCACAUUACCAUCCACUAGGCCAACAAUGAAGGAGGUUUUGGAAAUUCUUCGACAGUGCAAUCCUCAGAAGGACCAUGGAAGAAAGAAAAAGGACCAUGAAGCUGCACUCGAACAUACAUCGAGAUGUAAAGUCCAGCAACAUCUUACUAGACGUUGAGUUCAACGCGAAAAUUGCAGAUUUUGGAUUAGCCAAGAUGUUGGUCAAGCAAGGAGAGCCGGACACUAUGUCAGGAGUUGAAGGCUCUUAUGGAUAUAUUGGCCCCGGUAAGACCAUCCAAGGCUUUUCUGUCCACAUGUUCUCAUUUCCAUAAUUUAUUGAUAAUUUUUAUCAAAUAAUUCUCGUAUGCUUGGAUGACAGAGUAUGCUUAUACAACAAAGGUGAAGGAGAAGAUCGAUGUAUAUAGCUUUAGAGUAGUUCUUCUUGAGCUGGUGACGAGGAGAGAACCCAAUAGCGAGCACAUGUGCCUUGUAGAAUGGGCAUGGGAUCAGUUUAGAGAAGGGAAAACCAUUGAGGAAGUGGUGGAUGAGGAGAUCAAGGAACAAUGUGACAAAGCACAAGUGACCACUCUCUUCAAUCUAGGCCUCAUGUGUAUUACCACAUUACCAUCCACUAGGCCAACAAUGAAGGAGGUUUUGGAAAUUCUUCGACAGUGUAGUCCUCAUGAGGACCAUGGAAGAAAGAAAAAGGACCAUGAAGCUGCACCCGAACAUACAUUGAGAUGUAAAGUCCAGCAACAUCUUACUAGACGCUGAGUUCAGCGCGAAAAUUGUAGAUUUUGGAUUAGCCAAGAUGUUGGUCAAGCAAGGAGAGUCGGACACCAUGUCAGGAGUUGAAGGCUCUUACGGAUAUAUUGCCCCCGGUAAGACCAUCCAAGGCCUUCCUGUCCACAUGUUCUCAUUUCCAUAAUUUAUCGAUAAUUUUUAUCAAAUAAUUCUCGUAUGCUUGGAUGACAGAGUAUGCUUAUACAACAAAGGUGAACGAGAAUAUCGAUGUAUAUAGCUUUGGAGUAGUUCUGCUAGAGCUGGUGAUGGGGAGAGAACCCAACAACGAGCACAUGUGCCUUGUAGAAUGGGCAUGAGAUCAGUUUAGAGAAGAGAAAACCAUUGAGGAAGUGGUGGAUGAGGAGAUCAAGGAACAAUGUGACAAAGCACAAGUGACCACUCUCUUCAAUCUAGGCCUCAUGUGCACUACCACAUUACCAUCCACUAGGCCAACAAUGAAGGAGGUUUUGGAAAUUCUUCGAUAGUGCAGUCCUUAGGAGGACCAUGGAAGAAAGAAAAAGGACCAUGAAGCUGCACCCGAUCAUACAUCGAGAUGUAAAGUCCAGCAACAACUUACUAGACGCUGAGUUCAGCGCGAAAAUGGUAGAUUUUGGAUUAGCCAAGAUGUUGGUCAAGAAAGGAGAGCCUGACACCAUGUCAGGAGUUGAAGGCUCUUACGGAUAUAUUGCCCCCGGUAAGACCAUCCAAGGCCUUCCUGUCCACAUGUUCUCAUUUCCAUAAUUUAUCGAUAAUUUUUAUCAAAUAAUUCUCGUAUGCUUGGAUUACAGAGUAUGCUUAUACAACAAAGGUGAACAAUAAGAUCGAUGUAUAUAGCUUUGGAGUAGUUCUGCUUGAGCUGGUGACGAGGAGAGAACCUAAUAGCGAGCACAUGUGCCUUGUAGAAUGGGCAUGAGAUUAAUUUAGAGAAGGGAAAACCAUUGAGGAAGUGGUGGAUGAGGAGAUUAAGGAACAAUGUGACAGAGCAUAAGUGACCACUCUCUUUAAUCUAGGCCUCAUGUGCACUACCACAUUACCAUCCACUAGGCCAACAAUGAAGGAGGUUUUGGAAAUUCUUCGACAGUGCAGUCCUCAUGAGGACCAUGGAAGAAAGAAAAAGGACCAUGAAGCUGCACCUGAACAUACAUCGAGAUGUAAAGUCCAGCAACAUCUUACUAGACGCUGAGUUCAACGCGAAAAUUGUAGAUUUUGGAUUACCCAAGAUGUUGGUCAAGCAAGGAGAGCCCGAUACCAUGUCAGGAGUUGCAGGCUCUUACAGAUAUAUUGCCCCCGGUAAGACCAUCCAAGGCCUUCCUGUCCACAUGUUGUCAUUUCCAUAAUUUAUCGAUAAUUUUUAUCAAAUGAUUCUCGUAUGCUUGGAUGACAGAGUAUGCUUAUACACCAAAGGUGAAGGAGAAGACCGAUGUAUAUAGCUUUGGAGUAGUUCUUCUUGAGCUGGUGACGGGGAGAGAACCUAACAGCGAGCACAUGUGCCUUGUAGAAUGGGCAUGGGAUCAGUUUAGAGAAGGGAAAACCAUUGAGGAAGUGGUGGAUGAGGAGAUCAAAGAACAAUGUGACAGAGCACAAGUGACCACUUUCUUCAAUCUAGGCCUCAUGUGCACUACCACAUUACCAUCCACUAGGCCAACAAUGAAGGAGGUUUUGGAAAUUCUUCGACUGUGCAGUCCUCAGGAGGACCAUGGAAGAAAGAAAAAAGACCAUGAAGCUGCACCCCUGCUUCUAAAUGGCACUUAACCUGCCACUUUCAAGCAUAACGACAAGGGAUUUCUAUUUUUCUGUCAUUACUAUAGUGGGAUUUCAAAGAAAUGGGCUUCAUUUUUUAAACUUCUUAUUACCAGCAGGAGUCCCACUACCGUUAGCACCUUUGUUAGUAGUUCUUGAGCUAAUCCCUCAUUGUUUUCAUGCAUUAAACUUAGGAAUGCAUUUAUUUGCUAAUAUGAUGGCCGG
rnacentral:lncRNA from 1 species